rnacentral:rRNA from 1 species
UACGAUGGAGGGCUAGCGUUGUUCGGAAUUACUGGGCGUAAAGGGUGCGUAGGCGGCGCGGUAAGUCGGGUGUGAAAUCUCGGAGCUUAACUCCGAAACUGCAUUCGAUACUGCCGUGCUUGAGGACUGGAGAGGAGACUGGAAUUUACGGUGUAGCGGUGAAAUGCGUAGAUAUCGUAAGGAAGACCAGUGGCGAAGGCGGGUCUCUGGACAGUUCCUGACGCUGAGGCACGAAGGUCAGGGGAGCAAACGGG